AUCCUGGCUCAGGAUGAACGCUAGCUACAGGCUUAACACAUGCAAGUCGAGGGGCAGCAUGCUGAUAGCUUGCUAUCAGUGAUGGCGACCGGCGCACGGGUGCGUAACGCGUAUCGAACCUACCCUUUACUCGGGGAACAGCCUUGCGAAAGCAAGAUUAAUGCCCGAUGUUCCGCGUUUGCCGCAUGGCAAAUUCGGCAAAGAUUUAUUGGUAAAGGAUGGCGAUGCGUCCCAUUAGUUAGUUGGCGGGGUAACGGCCCACCAAGACGACGAUGGGUAGGGGUUCUGAGAGGAAGGUCCCCCACAUUGGAACUGAGACACGGUCCAAACUCCUACGGGAGGCAGCAGUGAGGAAUGUUGGUCAAUGGGCGCGAGCCUGAACCAGCCAAGUAGCGUGCGGGAUGAAGGCCCUAUGGGUUGUAAACCGCUUUUUCAGGGGGAUAAAGUGAGUGACGUGUCAUUCAUUGCAGGUACCCUGCGAAUAAGGACCGGCUAAUUCCGUG
rnacentral:rRNA from 1 species